UACGGAGGGUGCGAGCGUUAUUCGGAAUUACUGGGCGUAAAGCGCGCGCAGGCGGGUCGGCAAGUCUGAUGUGAAAGCCCCGGGCUCAACCUGGGAAGUGCAUUGGAAACUGUCGGUCUUGAGUCCUGGAGAGGAAGGGGGAAUUCCCGGUGUAGAGGUGAAAUUCGUAGAGAUCGGGAGGAAUACCAGUGGCGAAGGCGCCCUUCUGGACAGUGACUGACGCUGAGGCGCGAAAGCGUGGGGAG
rnacentral:rRNA from 1 species